rnacentral:rRNA from 1 species
GAUGAACGCUGGCGGCGUGCCUAAUACAUGCAAGUCGAGCGAACAGAUGAGGAGCUUGCUCCUCUGACGUUAGCGGCGGACGGGUGAGUAACACGUGGAUAACCUACCUAUAAGACUGGGAUAACUUCGGGAAACCGGAGCUAAUACCGGAUAAUAUAUUGAACCGCAUGGUUCAAUAGUGAAAGACGGUUUUGCUGUCACUUAUAGAUGGAUCCGCGCCGCAUUAGCUAGUUGGUAAGGUAACGGCUUACCAAGGCAACGAUGCGUAGCCGACCUGAGAGGGUGAUCGGCCACACUGGAACUGAGACACGGUCCAGACUCCUACGGGAGGCAGCAGUAGGGAAUCUUCCGUAAUGGGCGAAAGCCUGACGGAGCAACGCCGCGUGAGUGAUGAAGGUCUUCGGAUCGUAAAACUCUGUUAUUAGGGAAGAACAAAUGUGUAAGUAACUAUGCACGUCUUGACGGUACCUAAUCAGAAAGCCACGGCUAACUACGUG